GUAGGUAUAAAUACUGCCAGCCAGGAGCCCCUAUGCUGCUAACUCUGGGUGCACUGCCUAUGGUUUAGCCCUGAUCCACAAGGACCAGUCACUGAGCUGUGCACUGCUGCUUCUACUAACUUGCUUUCUUCCACUGCUGGCUCACUCUUGAAUUCUUUCCUGAGCAAAGCCAGGAACCCACCCAUGCUAACCCCCGCUUUUGGGACUCGCCUGCCCUGCAUCAAGAACAUCAAUAAAAGAAGAAGAAUUCUGAAUGCCAAAAAAAUGCUACUGCUCACUUUUCCUCAAACUGUCUAUGGUGAAAGGGGGAUCUGGCAAGAUGGCCAAAUAGGAACAGCUCUGGUCUGCAGCUCCCAGCGAGACCCAUGCAGAAGUGUAGAGAUGCUGAUGAGCAAGUACCUGGUAGAAGUAUGACAUGUCACUCAAGAUUACAGAGUGCAUUAUGGAUGCAAGAUAGACGCCAAGAGGAAAUCUUUGUGUUGAAGAAAGUAGUACUUGUCCUGUGGGAAACGAUGAGGGUAUGGUAGGUGGAUGCUUGAGAAGAAGAGAUAAGUCUCUAUGAAAAGGAGCUUCUACAGGAUAAGAAGCAAGACAAUUAAACUUUUGUACCAUAAAAUUAGCCAGUAAAACUGAAAGAACAAUUCUACAACAAGAAAAUUGCUUCACUUGAUUUAUACUCAUAUUGAUAAAGAAUUAGCUUGUUGCUGAUCAACAUGUACACUGAGAACAACUAGAAAAGCUGCCCAAAAUAUAAAAAAGAUUUAUGUUUGAAGACACUGGAGAUACGUCAAGGCAGUGAAGAUUUGCGGGCCAAGAUCAUGUAGAGAAAGAAAGCACAAAGAAAAAUGAGCCCUACAUCCAGUGCCACUUUUCCACUGUGGAUACAUAAAUUCCAAAGCAUCAUCUGAGAAUGUGAUGAAAAACUUGUAGCUAAGAAGCUGAGAUGAUAAAUACACUGUUCAUCUUUCUACAAGAGAUUGAAAAAACAACACAAGCUAAUAAAACUGGACACAAAAACAUAUUCUGUAUAAUUUCAUUUCUACAUAUAAUGGUAACUAUUUUAUAUAAGCCAACUUAUUUAAAUUAAGAUGUUGAAACUAAGAACACCUUGUAUCUUUGGUGAGUAGAAUGAAGAUAGUGAUAUAGAAGCCAGAGACUAGCUUUUGGUAUGCUGGAAAUAGUCUACUUUUGAUCUAUGCGGUGGGUUACAAAGGUAUGAUCAGGCUGUGAUAAUUCAAAAAGUUGAACACUUUAGAUCUGUACAUUUUUACAUACAGGCAUACCACAGAUAUAUUGUGGGUUUGGCUCCAGACUACCAUGAUAAAACCAAUUUGCCAUAAAGCAAGUCACACAAAUUUUUUGGUUUCCCAGUGCAUAUAAAUUAUGAUUAGACUGUACUAUAAUCUAUUAAGUGUACAAUAUCAUUAUGUGUAAAAAUGUACCUUAAUUAAACAUACUUUAUUACUACACAUGCUAAUGAUUACCUGAGCCUUCAGCGAGUCACAUUUUUGUGGUGGAACAUCUUGCCUUGAUGUUGAUGGCUGCUGACUAAUCAAGUGGUGGUUGCUGAAUGUUGGGGUGGCUGUGGAAAUGGGUUGAAAUAAGACAACAGUGAAGUUUGCCACAUUAAUUUACUCUCCUUUCCAUGAAAGUUUUCUCUGUAUCAUGCUGUUUGGUAGCAUUUUACCCACACUUGAACAUCUUUCAAAAUUGAAUUUACUUCUCUCAAACCCUGCUGCUGUUUUAUCGACUAAGCCUAUGUAGUAUUCCAAAUCUUUUGUUAUCAUUUGAACAAUGUUCACAGCAUCUUCACCAGGAGUAUAUUCUAUCUCAAAAAAAAAAAAAAAAAAAAAACUUUCUUUUUUCGUUCAUUCAUAAGAAGCAACUGCUCAUCUAUUAAAGUUUUAUCAUGAGAUUGCAGCAAUUCAGUCACAUCUUCAAGCUCCACUUCUAAUUCUAGUCUUCUUGCUAUUUUUGCCACAUCUGCAGUGACUUCCUCCACUGAAAUUUUGAACCCCUCAUAGUCAUCCAGGAAGGUUAGAAUUUACUUCUGCCAAACUCUUGUUAAUGUUGAUAUUUUCACACCCUCACAUGAAUCAUGAAUUUUCUUAAUGGCAUGCAGAAUAGUGGAUUCUUUCCAGAAGCGUUUCAAUUUACUUUACCUAAAUUCAUAAGAGGAAUCACUGUCUAUGGUAGCUCUAGCCUUAUGAAAAAGAUUUCUUAAAUAAUAAGACUUCGAAGUCUAAAUUACUCCUUGGUCUAUAGGCUGCAGAAUGGAUGUUGUGCUGGGAGGCAUGAAAACAAUAUUAAUCUUCAUGCACAUUUCCCUCAGAGCUACCGAGUGACCAGAUGCCUUGCCAAAGAGUAGUAAUGUUUUGAAAUAAAUCUUUUUUUCUGAACAGCAGUUCUUAACAGUAGGCUUAUAAUGUUCACUAAACCAUGCUGUAAACAUAAAAGGGCUGUCAUCCAGGCUUUGUCAUUCCAUGUAUAGAGCAGAAGCAGAGUAGAUUUAGCAUAAAGCUUAAGGGCCCUAUAACUUUUGGAAUGGUAAAUAGGCACUGGUUUCCACUUAAAGUAACAAGCUGCAUUAGCUGCUAACAAGAAAGUCAGCCUGUGUUUUGAAGCUUUGAAGCCAGACAUUGACUUCUCCUCUCUAGCUAUUAAAGUCCUAAAUGACAUCUUUUUUUCAAUAUAAGACUCUUUCAUCCACAUUGAAAAUCUGUUGUUUUGUAUAGUUGAGAGGUGAAGCCAGCUGAACUUCUGGGUUAGGUGGGGACUUGGAGAACUUUUCUGUCUUACAGGAGGAUUGUAAAAUGCACCAAUCAGCACUCUAGCUAGGAUUGCAAAAUGCACCAGUCACCACUCUGUGGCUAGCUAGAGGUUUGUAAAAUGGACCAAUCAGCACUCUGUAAAAUGGACCAACCAGCACGACAUGGAUGGGGACAAAUAAGGGAAUAAAAGCUGGCCACCCCAGCCAGCAGUGGCAAUGCACUCGGGUUCCCUUCCACACUGUGGAAGCUUUGUUCUUUCACUCUUCACAAUAAAUCUUGCUACUGCCCACUCUUUGAGUCUGUGCCAUCUUUAAGAGCUGUUACACUGUGAAGUUCUGCGGCUUCAUUCUUGAAGUCAGCAAGACCACAAAUCCACUGGAAGGAACCAACUCCAGACAUAUAGUCACCUUCAGGUAUCUCAGCUAGAUCUUCUGGAUAACUUGCUGAGGUUUCUACAUUAGCACUUGUUUCUGACCAUGGUAUUUUUACGGGGUGGAGAUGUCUUCUUUCCUUAAACUUCAUGAACCAACCUCUGUUAGCUUCCAGCUUUAAUUGUGCAGCUUCCUUGUCUCUCUUAGCCUUCACAGAAUUGAAGAGAGAUAGGGCCUUGCUCUGGAUUAGGUUUUGACUUGAGGAACUGCUGUGGCCAGUUUGAUCUUCCAUCCAGACCACUAAAACCUUCUGAAUAUCAGGAUUGAGGCUAUUUCACUUUCUUAUCAUUUGUGUGUUCACUGGAGUAGCACUUUUAAUUUCUGUCAAGAACUUUUCCUUGCAUGCACAACUUGGUUAACUAUUUGGCCCAAGAGGCCUAGCUUUUUGGUCUAUUUCAGCUUCUGAUGUACCUUCCUCGCUAAACUAAAUAAUUUCUAGAUUUUUAUUUGAAGUGAGAGACUUGCAACUCCUUCUUUCACUUGAACAUUUAGAGCCCACUGUAGGGUUAUUAACAGGACUAAUUUCAAUAUUGUUGUGUCUCAGAGAAUAGUAAGGCUUGAAGAGAGAGAGAGCGA
rnacentral:lncRNA from 1 species